rnacentral:tRNA from 1 species
GCCUGAUAAAAAGGGUUAUUUUGAUAGGAUAAAUAAUGUAAUUAUAUUACUUUUACUACUA